GAUGAACGCUGGCGGCGUGCCUAAUACAUGCAAGUCGAGCGAACAGACGAGGAGCUUGCUCCUCUGACGUUAGCGGCGGACGGGUGAGUAACACGUGGAUAACCUACCUAUCAGACUGGGAUAACUUCGGGAAACCGGAGCUAAUACCGGAUAAUAUAUUGAACCGCAUGGUUCAAUAGUGAAAGACGGUUUUGCUGUCACUUAUAGAUGGAUCCGCGCCGCAUUAGCUAGUUGGUAAGGUAACGGCUUACCAAGACAACGAUGCGUAGCCGACCUGAGAGGGUGAUCGGCCACACUGGAACUGAGACACGGUCCAGACGCCUACGGGAGGCAGCAGGAGGGAAGCUUCCGCAAUGGGCGAAAGCCUGACGGAGCAACGCAGCGUGAGUGAUGAAGGUCUUCGGAUCGUAAAACUGUGUUAUUAGGGAAGAAAAAAUGUGUAAGUAACUAUGCACGUGUUGACGGUACCUAAUCAGAAAGCCACGGCUAACUACGUG
rnacentral:rRNA from 1 species